UACAGAGGAGCCAAGCGUUGUCCGGAUUGACUGGGCGUAAAGCGCACGCAGGCGGUCGCGCGCGUGGGGUGUGAAAUCCGGCCGCUUAACGGCCAGGCGCCAUCCCAUACGGCGCGACUGGAGUGAUGCAGAGGUCGGUGGAAUUGCCGGUGUAGUGGUGAAAUGCGUAGAUAUCGGGAGGAACACCAGUGGCGAAGGCGACUACCUGGCCCAUUCUUGACGCUGAGGCGCGAAAGCUAGGGGAGCGAACGGG
rnacentral:rRNA from 1 species